GCAUCGCGGCUUCUAACGGGCAGCGCUGGCGGACGCUGCGCAAUUUUGCACUUGGAGCACUUAAGGAGUUCGGCUUGGGUACGCGGACCAUCGAGGACCGUGUCCUGGAAGAGGCGCCUUGUCUGCUUGGCGAAUUUCAAGACAGCGUUGGUUAUGUGUUCCGUGGUCUUUGAGAACCGCUAUGGCUACGAGGACCCAGAGUUCCUGAGGCUCCUGGACCUCUUCAGUGACAACUUCUGCAUCAUGAGUUCCAGAUAGGGUGAGGUGAGAGGGUCGGCCCCCAUCCCUCCCUCGUGUGCCCAGUCUAUGCCAAAUUCCAAGUACAUGGACCUACCUACAUUGGAUCAUUAGAAUGGGGCAGUCUUAGAAUCUUGGAAUGGAAGAGUUUUAGAACCUACAUCAAAGUCCUGGUCCAGUCUCCCCAUAGGGACACGAAUGGUCUUGUUCAAGGUCCUAUUGAUUUCCUGUCCCCCCAGAUGUACAUUUUCCCCUCCCUCCUAAAAUGGCUCCCAGGCCCACACCACGGAAUCUUCUGAAACUUAGCAGAGCUUAGAGUUUUCACCUCUCAGCAAACCCAGCAGCAACCGGCAGCCCGGGGAACCCCGCAAUUUCGAUUGCUUCCUGAUCAAACGGGUAAGGUACAGGGCCCUGCUGCCCACCAGCAGAUGCCUGGCUCCUCUACCCACAGAAGGACCCGGAGAGCCAUUUCCAGGAGACAUUGGUGAUGACGACGCAUAACCACUUCCUUGGCAGUACUGAGACCACAAGCACCACCCUGCGCUACGGACUCCUCAUUCUGCUCAAAUACCCAGAGGUGGUAGGCUUCUGAGCUGGACAGCUAGGGAUGAGGCGGCUAGGGUUGUGGGUUGGCUGGAGGCUGGGGUAGUUCACAUCUCUGCCGGCCCCAGCCAAAGCGCAGGCGGAGUUGGAUCCCGUGGUAGGUCGAAUGUGCGCCCCAAGCCUGGAGGACUAAGAACGCCUGCCCUACACCGACGCCACGCUGCAGGAGAUCCAAAGCGUCUUUAGCGUGCUGCCGCUGGAGCUGCCGCGUGCCCUCACCUGUGAGGCCCACCUGCGCAGUCACUUCCUGCCCAAGGUGGCCACCAAGACUGGGGAUCCUGCGCAGGGGCUGGGGAGGGCCUGUUAACAGAGAUGAGCAGGCCUAAGCGUCCAGAGCACUGACUCUGGGAGCAAGAAAGUAGGCGGCCUUCCUUGCCGCUGACUUCGAAAUGGGGUCUUGGAUGGAUGUGUGGAAUAGUCACUUGCAUAUUUUUCAAGUAACCCUUGCACAUCUCCCCAGGGCACCUUCAUGAUUCCUCUCCUUGUGUCUGCACACCAGGAUCUCACCCAAUUUAAGGACGCAGACUGUUUCAAUCCCACUAACUUCCUGAAUGACAAGGGAAAGCAAUGUGCCUGGGUGCAGGCCUGGCCCGAUCCGAGGUCUUCCUCACCUCCAUUCUACAGCAGUUCUGCCUGCUCCCUGUGGGGAGCCCCGCCAACAUCGACCUCACCCCACAGUGCCCCCAGCCUUCCAACUCUGUCUGGUGGCCCGCUGAAGUCAGGUUCAGCCACCCUCUGCUCACUGGCUCUCAGACCUCCUUACCCUCUUUGGUC